CCUAAAAGCGAAGUGGCAUAGCGGGAACUUUCAAAAAGCGGAGGAUACCUGUAAUUGCUCUCCUUUUUGGCUGCCUAAUAUUCACCACCCCCCAGCACGCACACACACGCACACACACACACACACACACACACAAAAUGUGUGUGUGUGUGUAUGUGUGUGUGUGUGUGUGUGUGACAACAGUUCCUAAUGUCCUUAUGAGGAAUUACCUAUCUCCAAUAGCAAGUGGUUUUAUUGGAACUGUCAAUGCAGUUGCCAGGGAGUGAGCCCAUAACGCCAAGGUAGGCCAGCUGAACUCAGGACUUUGAACUUGAUCAGAAAUGGAACAAAAUAUAAAACACCAGAAAAAGCAUACCCGCAUUCCUUCCAUCAUCAUCUCCUAGUGAGGCCGUUGAAACAUUCCUGCUUCCAGACCCCUGGUGCCCUGAAUAUCUGUCCUUUGAUGAGCCUGUUCUCCAGUCCUUCCCAUCGAUUCUGUCCCCAGAGUUGUAGCCAUGAACAAAUAACACAGUUCUGGGGUGGGGCACGCAGCCCACUUUACAGCAGGAGAGACAGACUCCCAGCCAAGAGUUGAGAGGUUCACUUCUUCCUGCGCCUCGGUGACAAGCAAAUGCAGGCCACCCCUUGGGAAGGAACCUGGGCAUGAUAUCAAGGUGGAGAAGUGUUGUUAUCCUAAUGAU